GGCUGAAAUUACGCCUUCAUGAAGCUGGAAUUGCUAGUAAUGGCUGGUCAGCAUACUGCCGUGAAUACGUUCCCGGGCCUUGUACACACCGCCCGUCACACCAUGAGAGUUGGGAAUACCCGAAGCCUGUGAGCUAACAGUAAUGAGGCAGCAGUCGAAGGUAGAGCCAAUGAUUGGGGUGAAGUCGUAACAAGGUAGC
rnacentral:rRNA from 1 species